GACGAACGCUGGCGGCGUGCCUAAUACAUGCAAGUAGAACGCUGAAGGAGGAGCUUGCUUCUCUGGAUGAGUUGCGAACGGGUGAGUAACGCGUAGGUAACCUGCCUGGUAGCGGGGGAUAACUAUUGGAAACGAUAGCUAAUACCGCAUAACAGUAGAUAUCGCAUGAUAUCUACUUGAAAGGUGCAAUUGCAUCACUGCCAGAUGGACCUGCGUUGUAUUAGCUAGUUGGUGAGGUAACGGCUCACCAAGGCGACGAUACAUAGCCGACCUGAGAGGGUGAUCGGCCACACUGGGACUGAGACACGGCCCAGACUCCUACGGGAGGCAGCAGUAGGGAAUCUUCGGCAAUGGACGGAAGUCUGACCGAGCAACGCCGCGUGAGUGAAGAAGGUUUUCGGAUCGUAAAGCUCUGUUGUAAGAGAAGAACGAGUGUGAGAGUGGAAAGUUCACACUGUGACGGUAGCUUACCAGAAAGGGACGGCUAACUACGUG
rnacentral:rRNA from 1 species